ACAGGCCAGUGAGAUGCUGUGAGCUCUGUAGCAGCUCAGCUGGGUCUCCAGAGGAGAACAUUCUCACAUGGCUUUUAGUCACACUGAUAACGGACCUGAACGGCUCUGGAAGCUAAAAUGAAACAGGAGUCAAGGUGGGAGGUGUGACGUUUGGAAUGCAGUACUAAUAACCUACAGUAUUUGAGCAAAAAGGAGCACAGCACCUCAAGUAUGAGAAAGUAGGAGCACAUAUGGGCUGAUGCCUUACUGCUUUCAAUAACUAAAGCUCGUUGUUCUUAUACUAAUCCUGGUUUAAUGCAAUUCUUGAGGGAAAAGACGUGAUAGUACAGUUAAUAAGGUAAUGCAUUAACUGUUCUCUGGCUAUUGCUGUUUACUGUAAUUGGCCAUUGCAUGAUUUUGUUUUCAGAUUGUAUCUAAAUAUCCUGGAAGCGAAGAAAACCGCUGCAGCUCCUCGGCUGCAGUUCUCCACAGUAAACCGGCGGGUGUCCCACUCGCCGAGAUGCCAGAAUAAUCGCAUUACAUGCUGAAAGCUUUUUACAGCAUCUGCCGGCAGCAGCCCCACAGUCCCACCCGUCCGCACCGACCAAUGGGAUGGGUCACCUUGCCGUGCGGGCGAGAGGUGCCUAUUUAAGAAGUGAACUGUAUGAGCUCUCUCUCAGUUAAAACAGCCCGGCUCAUUAUCUCAAUCAAAGGAAAGAGGGCCAAAUAUUAAUUACCGGAUUAAUAAUUCUUCUUCUGUUAACUAUUUCUCCGCAACAAACGUCAAGACAGACCAUCCAGCACUGAAACCCCGUCCAGACUUUGUGCAUUUGGAAGAGAUGAAAAAGCAGAAAUGCUGCUACUUUCUUGUGUUUCUGCUGGGUGUUACCGUAUUCCCCACGAGCUCUAGUAUGAGAGCUGAUGUCCUCGGGCUUCUUGACAACUCCUUGGAGCCUCAAGAGCACGCAGCAGACGCCUCCGACUCUGCCCUCACCAGGUUCUCCCUCCGCAAACCCAGCGACCCCGAAGACGAUGUCUGUUACGUCGGCCCCAGCAAGCCAGACUCCCUCAGCGCCUGCAGCUUCAACCACACAUCCAAAACCUUCCUGAUUAUACACGGCUGGACGGUCAGCGGAAUGUUUGAGGGCUGGGUAGCCAAGCUGGUGUCAGCCCUGUAUGAAAGAGAGCGCGAUGCCAACGUGAUAGUGGUGGAUUGGCUGAGCAUGGCACACAACCACUACCCCAUAGCAGCGAAGAAGACCAAGCUGGUGGGACAAGACAUCGGCCGGUUCCUCGACUGGCUGGAGGAGGAAGUGAAUUUCCCCCUUGACAAGGUUCACCUUAUUGGCUACAGCCUGGGUGCCCAUGUGGCAGGAUUUGCAGGAAGCCACGCCUCCAGUAAAGUGGGGAGAAUAACUGGUCUGGACCCAGCUGGUCCCAACUUUGAGGGAGCCCAAGCCCACGGGCGGCUUUCCCCGGACGACGCCCACUUCGUCGACGUCCUGCACACCUUCACCCGCGGUUCCCUGGGCCUGAGCAUUGGCAUCCAGCAGCCCGUCGGCCACGUCGAUAUUUACCCCAACGGAGGCAUCUCCCAGCCAGGGUGCAGCCUUCGCAGAGCUCUGGAGAAGAUCACAGCCAAUGGCUUGUUCGGCGUGUCCGACGCGGUGAAGUGCCAGCACGAGAGGUCGAUCCACCUCUUCAUCGACUCUCUGCUUCACGAGCGCGAGGCUGCCCAGGCCUACCGCUGCAGCAGCGCGGACGUGUUCAACCGCGGCUUCUGUCUCAGCUGCCGCAGGAACCGCUGCAACGCGGUGGGCUACAGCGCCAGCCGGGUCCGCCACCGGCGCAGCACCAAGAUGUACACCAGAACCCGGGCAGACAUGCCGUUCAGAGUCUAUCACUACCAGCUGAAGAUCCAUCUCCUCAACACAGCAAAGCGAUCAGAGAUCAAGCCCUUAUUCACUGUCUCUCUGUACGGAACCAAAAACGAUGCCGAAAAUCUUCACCUCAGCACGGAGAAGCUUUCUCCCAACAAGACUCACUCUUUCCUGCUGGUGACGGAGGUGGACAUCGGCGAUCUGCUGAUGCUGACACUCAGAUGGGAGCCCUCCAACAGCUGGUCUCCAUCCUCCCUGGUGAGGGCCGUGUCAUCCUGGUGGUCCAGCAAAAAGCCUGCCGGCUCCAGCAUGGAGAUCCGAAAGGUCCAGGUCAAAGCCGGGGAAUCACAGAAAAAGAUGGCUUUCUGUGCUAAAGAUGUCCGCACGCUGGCUCCUUCCCAGGAGAUCACUUUUGUCAAGUGCCAAGAUGAAUGGAACUCGGGGUCAAAAAGGUGAUUUUCGAAACUGUGCGGUCCCGCGGAGGAAUGGUUAUAGAUGCCUGUGCACAUACUGCGCUGCCAGGAACACAGAAAAGACAUGAGGAAACAGAGCUGUGUGGAUCAUUCCAUUCCCCUGUUCUGAAAAUGCACUUAGCAAUAAGCUGUAGCCAGCCUUAACUAUUGUUUGUUAUGGAAGAAAAAAAGCUAUUUAUUUGUAUAUAUUGUACAAAGGUCCAUGUCAACUACUACUGUAUGUAAAUAAUCUGUUGUAUUUUGCAAUGGUACUUAAAGACAAUUCUCAGAUAUUGCAUAUGGAUAUUUUUAUACAUAUAGCCACCCAAAGAGUCUGUUCUUAUGCAAGGUUUUCUGUGGUUUUGAGAUUUAAUAUACAGAA